rnacentral:snoRNA from 1 species
UUUGGGCGAAUGAGGAAUCUUUUUUUGAUCAAAUGGGUAAUUUGCAUCUGAUCUUUUUCUGUGAUGCUAUCAACCUUGGAGAGCUGACGUUCCAG